CCUCCCCCCGACACACACACACACACACACAACCCAAACCAGGGAAAUAAGAUAAGCACAUAAUCAUUUGAUGUUUUAUGUUCCCAUAUGGGAAAUGUGUAGAUAACCUUCUUGUUGAUGUACGCUCACACACCUGGUAAAAUGUCAAAUCUUUUGCUUCUAAUGCAUGUGAAAGAUUUGUGCUACUGUUUAUCCUUUUUUUUUAGAUCUCUUGUACUGCCUUUGCUCGCAUUUAACGUCUUUAUAUUGUCUAUCAUCAGAUGGCUUCUUCAUUUCAUUUAAAAUAUAUAUAUAUAUAUUUAUAUAUAUAAUUUUAUAUAUAUAUUUAUAUAUAUAAUUUUACUAGUUUUAUUGUUUAACAUUUUGCUUCGUUUUGUUUACUGAUUGAGGGCAGAUCACAUCGACCAAUAGUGCAUUGCCAUGUCUAUAUUUCUACAUAAGGGUUGUUUUAUUGUUUGCUCUAUGUAAUGCUCCUUGGUUGGAGAGAAACUGGAUCUGAGAGCAAAAACCAAAGAUUAAACUGCACUAACCAGUGAAGAAUUAAGGAAUUUAAUCUCACAGGAGAGGAAUCCGGACUCCGGAGGAACCCACAUUUUGGACUUGCUGAAAUUUUUCUUCUCUUCUGUUGACAAGUCAUUUUUUUGGCCAGUGUGUCCUGGACACUUCAAUUUUUGAAGCCAUACAUGUCCAGCACUUUGUAAGCCAAUAAGAAUUCAAGAAAUGGAAUCUCUGCUGCCCUUGAGUUAUAUCCAUUUUUGUGUCUGGGCAAGUCCUUUUGGCAGCACCUGGGGGGGUUCCUAACAUUUUAUUUAUGCGGACAUUCAAUUGCUUGGUGUUUCAGUUGUUUCUAACUUGGGAAUUAUCUUAAUCUUCGCUUCUUGAAUUCUUGUGUAUGUUACUAAGAGUUAAAUCAUAGGGAUCAGCGGAGGAGACAUAGAUUGUGUGCAAAUUUUAGCAGGAGACUUGAUUUUUCAUCUUUGAAUUGAAGCACCUAGACACAAGGUGAGAUUCCCUUUUUGGGUAGGCAUCAUCUUGAUAGCCAUGAUUAGCUUACUGUAUGCUUUUACAUGGAUCUCUUAGGAUGUUUGUUUCCCAGGCACGUCAAAAUUCGAGCCACAACUGUAUAUCUGACAAGUGUGGACACCAGCACCGACUCUUUUAUCAAUGCUAACACGUUAAAAUUUUUCUACAGAGAGAGAGAAAUUACUUAGGUGCACACUCAACUUUGACUGAAAAUCAUAUUGAUAAUCGAGGGCGACACUAAUAACUUAGUUGUAGACAUCUCUUUACUCUCUCUUUCUCUUUCCCCCAUAUUUUGUGAUUUUCAUUUUUCUAAUCCUAUAUCUUCCUAAUUAAUUGGGGAUAAAUUAUUUAUUUUGUCUCAUAAAUUAUGUUCUUAAUCCAUUUCAUUCAUAUUUUUUUACUUCAUUUGUCUUGUCCACUCACAUUAGUUAUGUUUAUUGGGUUCGGCAAAUUCAACUUUUGACCUGGCUAUCUUACUGAUAAACAUUUGCUGGAAUUGAAUGUAAGAAACCAGCCAAUUAAGUGUUUUUUGGUUUAAUCUUGUAAUUAGAUAAAUUGAAGCUGGUUCCUGCUCAUGAAAAAUUCAAAUGCACCAUCUUGUUCUCUUUGGGUAGCAUUCCUGGGAAGUCUCCUUGCAUGAUUCUUUUGUCUUCCUAGUGAAAUAUAACAGGGGUUAAAGAAGUGGAUACCCCACGGACUUGGGAGGUCCAACCCAAAGCUUAAAUUGUUAGGUGGAGAUGGCCCAAGGGUAUAUGAAAACACUCGAGGUCCCAGACUUGACCGAUGUGGGACUAUUCCCAACACUCACCCUCAUGUUUAGCUGGAAUUGGCGUGUGGAUGGACAAUGUAGGGAGGACAAAGUGAUGCUUUGAUACCAUGUUAAAAAAGUGGGAUAGCACAUGAACUUGGGGUGUUUAACCCAAAAGCUUAAGCCUAUUAAGUGGAGAUGGUACAAGGGUAUAUAAAGACAUCCAAGGUCCCAAACUUAACUGAUGUCGGACUAUUCCCAACAUCAGUCAUAUAUUGCAUAUUCAGUCCAGCUCCUUAGUCUAUUUAUGUCCAAACCAAGACAGCCACACAUGGAUGCAGCUACUCAAGUACUUCUCUACAUUAAACAAAAUCCAGGUCAAGGGGUUUUAUUAUCUUUAAGUCAGCCACAAGCUUACCAUGAUUCAGAUUGGGCAUCUUGCCAAGGAGUAACGAAAAUCAAUUACUGACUAUUCUAUGAUGUUGAGAAAAUCACUUAUUUCAUGGAAAUCUAAGAAACAAAGUAUUGUUUCCCGAUCAUCCACUGAAGCUGAAUAUCAAGCAAUGGUCAGCACUUGUUGUGAACUUACAUGGCUAUCAUAUUUCCUUCAAGAUCUACAAUUGCCCCUUCAUCAACCGACACAAUUAUUUUGCAACGACAAGGCAGCUCUUCAUAUUGUGGCAGACUCAAUUUUUCACGAACCAAAACAUGUCGAAAUUGGUUGCCAUAUUGUUCGUAAGCAAAUGCUGCGUGGUUUGGUUCUAACUGCACAGAUUUUUACUACACCAACAACCAUCUGAUGUCUUUUCCAAGGCUCUUAGUGCUUCACAGUUUUGCUACUCUUUGGCAAGUUGGGUGUUUCUGAUAUCUAAAUUCUCCACACUCCAACAUGAGGGGGAGUAGUAAAGAAGGUGCAAGUAAGGCAAUAAAAGGAGCUAACGGCUAGUUGAUUGAAAUAAUGGCUGAAGGCUUGUGUAUAACAGAUCUUGAUUGGAUAUCUCAUCCAAAUCUUUUCUAUGUAUUACAAUGUGUUUUUCCUUGUAUAUUCUUUCCUCAUUUAUUGCCUAUAGUAUUGUAACAAUAUAUAUGUUGACUCUCAGAAUAAUGGAUACAUAUCAAGCAAUAUUCAAAGUUAGUCUGUGUAUUUGAUAGGGGUAUCUUCCAAGUCUUUCUUGUUAGUUGUCAAUCUUUUCGUAGCGGAAUAAUAGUAUGUGUUUUAGGUUUGCCUUACGUUGUAUCUUCUCAUAUGAAUUUUCCAGUCUCAUGGACAAGACAAUUGCUUUAUGUAUAUUUCCAUAUCUAAGCCUAUUGUCUCCUCUGAUAAUGGUGUAAUCCCAUAUGCAGACAGUCACAGGUGACGAAUUAUUCAUUGGAUUUAUGGCACUGCAAGGCUUUCUUCUGCAAUUGAUUUGACAACGAAGGGGAUUCUUCAGGCUUAUUGGCCCUUCCCAUCUAUUCACAUUAUGGAGGUGGGGGAUUUUCUUUCCUCUGUCUUUUUCGGAGUGGUUGAGGUUGGGUUUUCCUGUAAGGGGUGGUACCCUAAACAUCUUUUAUUGAUGUGCUGUCACUUUGUAUCUCUGUCACACAAGGAAGCAUGCAAUGGGAAGGAAGCAGCUCUAGCUUCUGUCCGGCCAAUCAUUACAAAGAAAUUAAGUGUUGGGAGAUUGUUGGAAAAUAAGUGGAUCCUAAAUCACUCUCUAAAAUUUGGGAUUUUCAAAGAGGAUGCUUAUUGUGGGACUGAGGGAGUAGUAUAUAAGAGUUCCAUAUUAUGGUUUCUCUCUCUCUCUCUCCCUCCCCAUUAUAGUUUAUGAUUCUGAGUCCUUGAACUGCAACUGUGGGAUUCCCCAAACAUGACUUCCAAACUGGGGCUGAGUUCCAAUACAUGUAACUGCAAAUGAGCAGACCUUUGAUGCAAGGAAAACGACUGCCUUGGACACCUAGGCAUCAACUUGUGGUCUUGUCAUAAUACACAUUAUAUGAUAUUGAUUUUUUGACAUUUCACGAGUUUACGUUGAUUUAUAUUUAUUGCUUUGUUUUUUGAUGGAUAGGCUUAUAAUAUAUCUUAUGCUUUAUCUAUUAUAUGUUGGUUUUCUCAUAUUAUGUCACAUAUAAGUAUAACUAUGUAAAUUUAUCAUUUGUAUAUUACAUAUACUGCACACCUAGGGCACCUUGUUGCCUUGGCACCUCUCCAACGCCUUGGGUCACGUAAUCGCCUUGACAACUAUGGGUGCUAAUGAAAGUAAGAUAGUAUAAUUAAAGAAUAUAAAGUUAUUAUUCUAUAAUAUCACAACAUAGUCAUGAAUUGAUAAAUCCCAAUUUUUUGAGUUUCACAAGAGUCUGGCUUUUCAGAUUCCUGUUUGAUUGCACCAGUAAUACUGGAUGGUCAUGGAAAGGAGUAUACCUAAGAAUGAGAGGUUUGGGGGAUGUGCAGUUUGGUAUGCUUCUUCUUCAAAGCAUGUCAGUGGUUUAAUUGUUAGCUGGUAAAGUUGGAUCCUGAAACCAAAGAGUCUUUGCCAACUUUGCAAGGUUCAUCGUAAAAUAUUGCUUUCGAAGUAGGAUGUCAGGUUGGAUAAAAAUUGACCCAAUUUUGCAACCCAGCUCUAUGGUUUGAUCUUCAGAAGUUUUACCUGAUAUACUGACAGAUUAAAGAAUUUAAGUUCAGUCGGAUGCUGUUCCUUGGUUUUAAAAUUUUGGAAACAUGGUUCAUGACAAACAUGUUGGGGUAUAAUGUUUUGUAUUCUGUCACUUGCUUUUGUGGCUGACUCUGAAGGGCUCUUAAGAGGUCAUAGAGACCGAAGGGCCCUAUGCCCGAAAUUGUUCAGUAAACUGUCUCUAUUAAAUGUCUCUUUGUAACUUUGUUUCUAAGGUGAUUCAUUGUAAUCUGAAAGAGGUGUGAGGAUGAGCGGUUGUAACCCUAUUCUCCAUUGAUAGUGAAGCAGGUCUCAUUCACCAUGGAUGCGGCAACCUUGCAGAACCACGUAAAUCUUGCGUUGUGUGAUUGUUGUUUGCGAUUUCCAUUCUUUUCUUGCAUUUUUUUAGGUUUCAGUUUCUAAAAGCACUACAUUUAAUGUUUUAGAUGCUAUUGUCUGGGUUACUAAUCCCAAACUUGACCAUUUGGUGGCUGGGAAGACUUAAGGUUAUAUUGGUUGAAUGAUCCUGCCAAUCAUGAUCCAAUACUGGAUACGUACAAUUUGGUUGAUGGCGGAUGAUGCAGAUAAUUUGGCUUAUACAUGUGCUGGGCCUUUGGUCCAGUAGGUUUUCUUUGUAAUAUGCCACUUUAAUGAGUCUAAAAUAUGGGUAGAAGGUUAUGGGAUUUACUUUAUUAGUUUAGUUUGAGUCUUUUAUUUCUUGUUUUAAUUCAUAAAGGUUGAGUUAGAUCUCUGAUAGUCCAUCCUUGUUUUGAGCUGUUUUCGUUUAUUUUAGGCUAAGUUAUAGUAGUAGUAGACUUCCUUCAGGGAAAGCUAUUGGCUAGAGGGGUUUUAGCCUAUUCUUGUUUAGAGUUUAUAUAUAUAUAUAUAUAUAUAUAUAUUUAAGGGUUAUGCCUUGUACACAAUUUUGGUAAUAAGAAGAAACUUUUCAGGCCAACAGUCUGUGGAUUUCAGACCUUUGCUUGGGUGGAUUUUCAAGUGACUUUGUGGAUUCUUAAUGCUUUGUUGUUGUGGAUUCAGCAAGGGUUUUUGGUGGAUUCAGGUUCCCAACAGGUGGAUUCCCAGUUAUCUUUAUUCAUCUAUAUUCCUCCGUCAAAAUCAGGAUAGUGUCCGACUUUCUCUUCAUAUGCAUGUUUUGGUUUACUGAUUCAAGUUGGUUUGCUUAAAUAUUCUGUUAUUCUAUCAUCACACUGAAUUCUUUUGAAGGUUUUGUUGUUAUUUGAUCUUACAAAUCUUUCUUGGUUUAAGAGAAAUCCUUUUUCAACUAGGGUUUUCUGAUUUUCUAAGUUCUGAAACAGAUUUUCAUAAUCUGUGGAUCGGUUUCUUGUCUGAAUUCUACUGGUUUCAAAACCAGAUCUUUCUAUUGAUUUCUUAGUGUCCUAAUUCAUGUCUGAGUUCAGUCAACCUGACUUUCAAGUUCUGUUUUCAAUCUUUGAUUUGAGAUUUCAAACCUAUAAUUUUGAUAUUCUGUCUAUUCUGACCAUUAUAUUGAGACUGCUAAAUCACCAUUGAUUUUUAGAUCUGGGAAUUUUUCUUUGAGUAGAAAUCUUCGUAUCAUAAGAAUCUGGCCAUUGGAUCAAACCAGAUUUUUGAUUGUAUGUCCUCUCAUCCAAUUAGAGCCUUCAAUCAGAAUUUUGGCUGAAUCACAUCGAUUCUCUGUUACUAAAAUUCUUGUGAAAUUUAGUUUCUAAACCUGCAACUGCGAUUCUGGUUUCAUUGGAUUGGAUUUCUGAACCUAGUGACCUUAGGCUUCUGGAAUCCCAUUAGUGAGGAUUACAGCUGAUGCAUAAGACAAUAAAGAUUAUGCUGCUGACACCUGAUAAGCUGAUGGAGAAUUCCAUUUACUGUCCAUGGGAGGAACAAAUGCAUAUUGUAGCAUUUAUACCAAUAUCAUCAUCAUUCAUGUGUAUUAAUGUAGGUACUAUUCCCAUAAUAAUAUAAUAAUGCGUCUUAUCUAGAGGAUAGUAAGAUUUGGAUCUUUGAAUAUGUAUUGAUUGAUCCUUCACUAUGAAAAAUCUGUCCUUUUUCAGUUUCUCAUGUUCAAAAUUUCCAAUGGUUCAUGUUGCCGUGAAAUUGUGUAGGGUUGUGUAUAUACUGACACAUCCAGGAGUACCCACUGUCUUCUAUGACCACUUUUAUGAUUGGGGUGACGCUAUACAACCAAAUCCUGAAGCUGAUGUUCGAAGAGAUAUCGAGACAUUCAUAGCCAAUCUGCUGUAAGGAUUCCGGAGGCCUAACCCAUUCUCGUCUCGGCCAUCAUUGAUGAGGAAGCGUGCAUGAAGAGAUGUAAUGGAUGUUGGUGCUAAGUGGGUAGAGAGUGGAUACUAGCAAUCACUGGUCAUAAAUAUGCAGCCUGGUAGAAAUGUUGUUCCUUAAUUCCUCCAUAGAGUUAGUAAUAGUAAUCUUUGUACUAAUUAGGCUGUGCUUCCAGUUCCGGAUGUAUUACUGGAUAUUAUUACUGUAUUACUAUGGGCUUAUGGUGUGAAAUGUUCUAUUACCAUGAGAAAAAUAUGGUAGGAUAUUGUUUUUUGGUGGAUACUCUUUGAAGACUUUGAUUGGAAUAGUGUUGAAUGAAUGUCAAUAUAUUUUGGUUUUGCUUCAAA